rnacentral:lncRNA from 1 species
ACAGUUUUAUUUAGAACAACACUUCCAGCCCAUUUCCUGAUGUUAUAUUCACCUUUACACUGCUCCUGUGGGUCCUAAGGUUGGUGCUUUCAUACAGAUUUUGGAAGUGGGAAGUGUUAUGGCUAGUUGUCAGCAACUAUAGUCCUUUGCCAUGACAAAUGUGAUGUUCUGAUGAUUUCUUCUUCCUCUCUUCUUCUUACUUUUUCCUUCUUGUUUUUCAAUUGACUGCAGAUGAGCUCUGGAACCUCCAGUACUGCCUCAAGUCUGAUAAUCCCAUGUCUCCUCAUCCUUUAGCUGUGCUUCUCCAGGCUCACAAUAUCAUACCCAGUAGUCAAACAGGAACACAAGGAGCUGCAUUUGGUCUGGCAAGCAAAUCUUUGUUGUGUUUUCCGGAAAACAUUUCUCCAUUACCAAAUAAUGAUGCUGGGCUAAGAAGAGCAUGGACCUUACUUCCCCCUUACAGCAAUACUCAGGGGUACAUUAACUGCUUCAGACUGGUGGAACAGUCUCAACAGCAAAGGAAGAAAUCUUUGGAAACAUCUUCAUGAAGUCCUUUGCAGAUACAAGGUAGACCUUAAAAAAAUGAAAAAAAAAAAAAAAAAAAAGAAGAAGAAGAAAAAAAGGAAGAAAAAAAACCAUAUGGAAUGAAAGAAUUAAGCAAUUAAACUAAAAACAAAACAAACAAAACAAAAAAGCUUUGUCUAUAAUUAUACUGUUUACUAGAAGAAUGGAGAGGGUAAAGGAUUAGGAUAAAUAAAAAAGAACUACGUAAUAACUAGCUGAAAAAG